UAGAAAGACAAUCCAUUUUCCCCCAGUCAAUUUUUUUCUUUGAUCUAAAGAACUUGCUUCUUUUCUUUGAAGUUGUUCACAAUAGGGCAUGAUAGAAGGAGCACAGAGUGCCAGAGGCAGGAAACUACUAUGCUUCACUAGUGACUCAUAAGAAAACUUAAUAGAAGGUCUCUAAUGCCCACUGGCCCUACAGUUCCUGAUUGAUGUAGUCCCAAACUCAGCAGGCUCCCCUCAUUGAACCAAGCAUGUCAGAGGAUGGAGAGAGUGUGGGGGAAGGGUCCCUUGGCCUCGGUAGUCAGGAAGAAUGAGUCUUAUAUCGUCACUGCCGCUAUUCCUGCCACCAUCUCCAAAGAACCUUGGAUUGCUACGAUAUUUACAGAGAAAAUCACCUUGGACACUCUACCUAUCUCAGCCUGAAGAUCAUGAAGCUGGUGGAUGCUGGCAGUGAUAAACUGAACUAUUACUGCCAGCUCACAUCCUCUUUUCUGGGCAACUUUGCAAUUCCUCCCACAAAAAUAAAAACUGUACUUCCUUGACCUUUGAGUUCA
rnacentral:lncRNA from 1 species